UACGUAGGGCGCAAGCGUUGUCCGGAAUUAUUGGGCGUAAAGAGCUCGUAGGCGGUCUGUCGCGUCUGUUGUGAAAACUCGAGGCUCAACCUCGGGCUUGCAGUGGAUACGGGCAGACUAGAGUGCGGUAGGGGAGACUGGAAUUCCUGGUGUAGCGGUGGAAUGCGCAGAUAUCAGGAGGAACACCGGUGGCGAAGGCGGGUCUCUGGGCCGUAACUGACGCUGAGGAGCGAAAGCAUGGGGAGCGAACAGG
rnacentral:rRNA from 1 species